rnacentral:rRNA from 1 species
GUCGAGCGGAUGAAGGGAGCUUGCUCCUGAAUUCAGCGGCGGACGGGUGAGUAAUGCCUAGGAAUCUGCCUGGUAGUGGGGGACAACGUUUCGAAAGGAACGCUAAUACCGCAUACGUCCUACGGGAGAAAGCAGGGGACCUUCGGGCCUUGCGCUAUCAGAUGAGCCUAGGUCGGAUUAGCUAGUUGGUGAGGUAAUGGCUCACCAAGGCGACGAUCCGUAACUGGUCUGAGAGGAUGAUCAGUCACACUGGAACUGAGACACGGUCCAGACUCCUACGGGAGGCAGCAGUGGGGAAUAUUGGACAAUGGGCGAAAGCCUGAUCCAGCCAUGCCGCGUGUGUGAAGAAGGUCUUCGGAUUGUAAAGCACUUUAAGUUGGGAGGAAGGGCAGUAAAUUAAUACUUUGCUGUUUUGACGUUACCGACAGAAUAAGCACCGGCUAACUCUGUGCCAGCAGCCGCGGUAAUACAGAGGGUGCAAGCGUUAAUCGGAAUUACUGGGCGUAAAGCGCGCGUAGGUGGUUCGUUAAGUUGCAUGUGAAAUCCCCGGGCUCAACCUGGGAACUGCAUCCAAAACUGGCGAGCUAGAGUAUGGUAGAGGGUGGUGGAAUUUCCUGUGUAGCGGUGAAAUGCGUAGAUAUAGGAAGGAACACCAGUGGCGAAG